AAUAGAUGUGAGAACAGCUUAGGCAUGAGGGGCCCACUGGUAUUCCAUAAAGACGGCACUUGAGCCACUGGAGCCUUCUUUCAGGCUACAGAUUUCAUUGAAGACCUACUAUGUGCCAAGAGAUGUUCUAUGAGCUGGGACAUGCAAAAUACAGGGGGUCGUUUCACGUCAUGUUGCCCGGCGCCUCCCCCCACCCUCCACCUCCCGGACUCUGUGAGUUCUUGAACAUGAGAGGCGUGAAUUGGGCAUGGACUACAGGCCCCUCGCCUCGGAGGAAGUUAACGGGUUCAGCAUUCUGGGUGAGAAAAAGAGAAACCGCUCACAACCUGUGGUCACCCACGAGCCCUGGAGCGACGCACGUCUGCGAAGCCACCCACAUCUGAGAGCCAGCUCGCUCCUGGGAGGACGGCCCGGAACAGCAGCAAAACGGAUCCGCCAGCCCCGACUGGUUCUCCCUGUUGCUUU